AUGGACGCAAGCCUGUGGCCAAUGAGGAGGAGAAGAUACCGCAGCGAGCCAGAGGGGAGGGAGUGGGCGGGCCAACGCCCUCCCCUCCCUCCGGCGGCCGGGUCCUCCCUCCCGCCCUGUUCGGGUGAUACGAGAAAUGAACUUGGCGCGGCCAUGACAGGGAGAACAACCACCACCACCUCAUCCAGAGGAGAGGAAGACUCGUCCGACUGAGGAGACGAGAGGAGAGGGUAGCUGGCAGGUGUGUCUUUUUCAGCACCAGCUGUGGAUGGGGGCCUCUCCUCCAUCCUGCCACCACUUCCGCCUGCCUUUCUGAGUUACCAAACCCACUUUCCUCCAGCCAGGACUUAGACUGGUGUGGAUCAAGAGCAAGCUGCAGGUCAUGAGCAAUCCUAUUCCAAUAAGCCACCCUCAUGCCCUUCAAAAAACUGUAAGGAUUUGGGGACCCAAAGAUCAGGCCCAGCCACC
rnacentral:lncRNA from 1 species